rnacentral:rRNA from 1 species
GAUGAACGCUGACAGAAUGCUUAACACAUGCAAGUCUACUUGAAUUUGGGUUUUUUAACUUAGAUUUGGGUGGCGGACGGGUGAGUAACGCGUAAAGAACUUGCCUCACAGCUAGGGACAACAUUUGGAAACGAAUGCUAAUACCUGAUAUUAUGAUUAUAAGGCAUCUUAGAAUUAUGAAAGCUAUAUGCGCUGUGAGAGAGCUUUGCGUCCCAUUAGCUAGUUGGAGAGGUAACGGCUCACCAAGGCGAUGAUGGGUAGCCGGCCUGAGAGGGUGAACGGCCACAAGGGGACUGAGACACGGCCCUUACUCCUACGGGAGGCAGCAGUGGGGAAUAUUGGACAAUGGACCAAGAGUCUGAUCCAGCAAUUCUGUGUGCACGAUGACGUUUUUCGGAAUGUAAAGUGCUUUCAGUUGGGAAGAAAAAAAUGACGGUACCAACAGAAGAAGUGACGGCUAAAUACGUG